rnacentral:sRNA from 1 species
CCUGAAAUAACACUGAUCGAAAGGGGUGCAAGGG